ACCAGACGACGUCAAUGAGCUGAGCUGACCACCAUGAAGGGGAGUGUCGCGGAGCUGGAACCUCGGUCUCGGAGUCGGAGCUAAUCAUUGAACUUGAAGCUGGCGUGAUUGAGAUUGAGAACUAGUGAAAUACUCUUAAGAUUUGUUUAGUUGGCCAGUACAGGUCUAGAAUCUAGUCUACUCGAUCGGAGUAGUCAGGACAGUAGAGUCUACAAUUACAACAAGUUUGAAAAUGGAGGGGAUUAAUCAUGGAGACAAGCCACCUAUUAUUGCUGAAAUCCCUCUGUUUCAAAGGAAAAGAACGGAUGAUUUAUUUGCAAGUUUUGAGAACAAGUACAAGAAGAAACCAUUAUUUCUAGCAAGAGCUUCUGGGAGAGUAAACUUGAUUGGGGAACAUAUUGACUACUGUGGUUAUUCUGUGCUACCAAUGGCGAUAGAACAGGACAUCCUCAUGGCUGUAGCAACAAAUACUAAUACAGAGCUUCAUUUGAGCAAUGCAAAUUCAAAGUUCAGUGACUUUGUGACCGACAUGACAUCAUUCACCAUCGACCAAUCACGGCCAGAGUGGCACAACUACAUCCUGUGUGGAAUCAAAGGAAUCCUUGAGAGAGCAGGAAUGGUCGACACCCCUCAGGGUAUGAGCAUCAUGGUGGAUGGUAAUGUACCCAAGAGUGCUGGCCUGUCUAGUUCCAGUGCACUGGUGUGCUGUGCAGGGCUAGCUACCAAGCAUGCACAUAGCUUAGCCUUUACAAAGACAGAACUUGCAGACAUUUGUAUGAGAUGUGAGCAUUACAUUGGAACUCAAGGUGGAGGUAUGGACCAAUCCAUCUGCUUCCUUGCCAAAGCUGGAACGGCAAAGCACAUCGAGUUUAACCCCAUCAGAGCCCAUGACGUCAGUCUCCCAGAAGGUGUGGUGUUUGUGGUAGCCAAUAGCUGCGUGGAGUUGCAGAAGGCUUCAACAUCCCACUUUAAUAUCAGAGUAGUGGAAUGUAGGCUGGCUUCACAGAUUCUAGCUAAGUCCAAAGGUCUUGAGUGGAGGAAGAUGAGACGUCUUGCGGAUGUUGAGAAAGCUCUUGGUGUCUCCCUCUCAGACAUGGAGGAGAUGGUAGAUCAAGUCUUGCAUCCAGAGCCUUACACCAAGGAUGAGGUGUGUGGUAUUCUAAGUUUGUCUACUGAUGAACUCAACAGUGAGAGUCUGAGUCAAAACACUCUUCAUGUGCAAUCUUUCAAGCUCCACAACCGAGCCAUGCACGUCUUUAGCGAGGCAAAUCGUGUAUUGAAGUUCAAAGCCUUGUGCAAUGACUCCAGUGUGAAAGACCCUGCUCAGUUGCUAGGCAACCUGAUGAAUGACAGUCACGCUAGUUGCAGAGACCUCUAUGAAUGCAGUUGUCCAGAGCUGGAUGAACUGGUAGAAAUUUGCAAGAAGGCAGGGGCACUGGGUUCCAGGCUGACUGGAGCAGGUUGGGCAGGAUGCACCGUUUCCAUGGUACCCAAUGAUACUCUCCAAGCAUUUCUCAAGCAGGUGGAGGACGAGUUCUACGCCAAGGACCCAAACAGAAGGUCAAAGGUUGCAGAAAGUUUAUUCGCAACACAGCCAGGCCAGGGUGCAGUAAUAUAUCAGAUACAUGUAUAGUCUCUGUAUUUGAGUAUUGAUGAAAAUGGUUCUUUGAAUGACUCCUCGGUAUGUGUUGGCAUUAUGAUCAUCUGUGAAGUGUUAUUUAAAAUGCUUUCCAGGGAGUAGAAAAUAAAUGGUUAAAUUUCAUUAUUUGUAGGCACUCCUGAUAGAUUUAUAUCAUUGGGGCCAAUGACUAAUGAGCAAUUGUAGUUUGUUUUAAUAGAUUUUUUAAAACAAGUAAAUACAGAGAAUUAUUAAGCAAAUGCACUGUUACUGUUUCCAAUCUUGUCAAGUGCCUUAGUUUAGAAAAUGAUAGCAUCAUUCAUCAAAACCUGUCUUAAACUUUCAUUUAGGUCCAAUAACAUGACUUUAUAUUAUAUCAUCCAAUAUUCCAAUCUUACAAAAAUGUAGUGGUCAUGAAACAUUAUUUCUUUGAUUCUUUGUGAAAAAGUUUUAUAUGUGAGAAUAUUGACUGCCCUCUAUUGGUAAUGUUUUGUUCGUACAGGACACAAAUGAAUCCACCCACCUGACACCUGAAGUUGCAACCUUUCUCUCACACACGUACAUGUACACACACUUCAUCACAAUCCUUCAGGGAUGGCGGCAGUGUUGUUUUUUUUUUCUUUCCUUUUUUCUAAUUCAUUAAAAGAUCACUUAUCCUACCUUGCAUUUUUCAUCAUUUGCAAAUAAUGCAUAAAUGUGCAAAGACAACAUACAUUUAUGUAGAAUAAUGGACAAUGAUUAGUUACUACUAAAAUGCCUGCAAGCCUUUUCCCCAUUCUCUUUUGAACAUGGCCACAGCAUUCAAGUUUUGUUAUUGUAGCAUUUUUUGUAGAUGUUCACUUUAGCUGCAAUUGAAUAUGACUUACAGUCCCCAUCAUCAAGGUCUCAACUUGUUGGGUUUUUUUCUGAUCUCCUGAAAAUGUUUUCAAUAGCUGUUACCUCUAUAUCCCGGAUAAUCUAUCAGAAUUCUUAUUACAGUCACUUUUGUGCAUUUCAUACCUUUCGGUUAAAGUGGCAUCAUCCAUAUUCUUCCUGCUUUUCUGACACAUGAUUUGACAGGACAUCAAUGUCAUCCACUUUGGAUUUUGAGCCUGCAACGAUCAGAAUAGUCACGAUUCCAUUUUUGCUUUGGAAGCCUCUGCGUUGCCAGGUGCCGUCACGAGACACAGUUACACCUCAUCUUUGUCAGCACCUCCUCGCAUUCCAAAGGUCAUCAGGGGAGGAAGCAAUUUAUUGCUUGGUCAUGGCCAGUUGGGGAAUUUUUCUCAAAUUUAACCAAAAGGGUGCAUGAAAUCUUUGAAUUUCCCUGAAGAAAAUCAAAAAACACCCCAAUGACAAGCCCAGUCACCUCACUCCCUUUCAUUUUUCUU